UGAUGCAGCGACGCCGCGUGAGGGAUGACGGCCUUCGGGUUGUAAACCUCUUUCAGUAGGGAAGAAGCGAAAGUGACGGUACCUGCAGAAGAAGCGCCGGCUAACUACGUGCCAGCAGCCGCGGUAAUACGUAGGGCGCAAGCGUUAUCCGGAAUUAUUGGGCGUAAAGAGCUCGUAGGCGGUUUGUCGCGUCUGCCGUGAAAGUCCGGGGCUCAACUCCGGAUCUGCGGUGGGUACGGGCAGACUAGAGUGAUGUAGGGGAGACUGGAAUUCCUGGUGUAGCGGUGAAAUGCGCAGAUAUCAGGAGGAACACCGAUGGCGAAGGCAGGUCUCUGGGCAUUAACUGACGCUGAGGAGCGAAAGCAUGGGGAGCGAACAGGAUUAGAUACCCUGGUAGUCCAUGCCGUAAACGUUGGGCACUAGGUGUGGGGGACAUUCCACGUUUUCCGCGCCGUAGCUAACGCAUUAAGUGCCCCGCCUGGGGAGUACGGCCGCAAGGCUAAAACUCAAAGGAAUUGACGGGGGCCCGCACAAGCGGCGGAGCAUGCGGAUUAAUUCGAUGCAACGCGAAGAACCUUACCAAGGCUUGACAUGGGCCGGACCGGGCUGGAAACAGUCCUUCCCCUUUG
rnacentral:rRNA from 1 species